GAAAACUUUAACAUAAAUGCCUGAUGCUUAAAUUUAAAACUUGCUUUAUAAAAUCAAUCGGAAAAUUAGGGUUUCAGGUGAAAACGCCUUAAAAGUAUCCCAUUUUACCCCACAGUAGUUAGUGAAAUUUUGCGUGCAAUAUAAAUGCAGCGUAUAUCCUAAAGCAGCACUUCAAGAUACAGUAUUUAACUUUUUGCGUGACGUGCGAGUUGGGACACACUUCAUCUUGGUAUUUAUGUUCGUGUGAUGUGAUUGUUGUAGCAUUGGUUUCAUGCAAAAGGUCCACAGCGAUGCUUGUUUGCCUGUACGUGCCGCAAUCUUGAAGUAGGCAAUUAUAAUGAUACAUUCGUAACCAACCAUCAGUCGUUUUUUGACCAGAAGCAUUCAAACUGGUUGCAUCUAAUUAUUUAAAUGUGAAACACAUUUGGAACUUGGAUUGGCGAUCUCUGUAUAUUCUUGUGUUGCAAGACUUCUCAUUCGAAGCUUGGUCAAUGGUUGUUCCUGUUGGAGGGACUCGGACGCAAAGCACACAAACGCUAAAAACGCGUAAUCGAUCUUUCUUCCUGUUGUUUAAACAAACAAACAAAUUGAGCUGACAAAUACGCCACCAUCAAAAGGCAUGCAUUCGCCAGUAACCAUUGACGCUUUAUC